CAACGGCACACCACCACAACGGAUCGUCCGGCACGUACCUGCCGGUGGAGGGAUGUACCA
rfam:Paraoerskovia marina strain DSM 22126 genome assembly, chromosome: I